rnacentral:rRNA from 1 species
AACGAACGCUGGCGGCAGGCCUAACACAUGCAAGUCGAGCGCGCCCUUCGGGGUGAGCGGCGGACGGGUGAGUAACGCGUGGGAACGUGCCCUUUUCUACGGAAUAGCCUCGGGAAACUGAGAGUAAUACCGUAUACGCCCUUUGGGGGAAAGAUUUAUCGGAAAAGGAUCGGCCCGCGUUGGAUUAGGUAGUUGGUGGGGUAAUGGCCUACCGAGCCGACGAUCCAUAGCUGGUUUGAGAGGAUGAUCAGCCACACUGGGACUGAGACACGGCCCAGACUCCUACGGGAGGCAGCAGUGGGGAAUCUUAGACAAUGGGGGCAACCCUGAUCUAGCCAUGCCGCGUGAGUGAUGAAGGCCUUAGGGUUGUAAAGCUCUUUCAGCUGGGAAGAUAAUGACGGUACCAGCAGAAGAAGCCCCGGCUAACUCCGUG